UGCAUAUCCAAAAAGCGGAGGAAAAGAAACCAACAGGGAUUGCCUCAGUAGCGGCGAGUGAAGCGGCAAGAGCUCAGAUUUGAAAUCGUGCUUUGCGGCACGAGUUGUAGAUUGCAGGUUGGAGUCUGUGUGGAAGGCGGUGUCCAAGUCCCUUGGAACAGGGCGCCCAGGAGGGUGAGAGCCCCGUGGGAUGCCGGCGGAAGCAGUGAGGCCCUUCUGACGAGUCGAGUUGUUUGGGAAUGCAGCUCCAAGCGGGUGGUAAAUUCCAUCUAAGGCUAAAUACUGGCGAGAGACCGAUAGCGAACAAGUACUGUGAAGGAAAGAUGAAAAGCACUUUGAAAAGAGAGUGAAACAGCACGUGAAAUUGUUGAAAGGGAAGGGUAUUGCGCCCGACAUGGGGAUUGCGCACCGCUGCCUCUCGUGGGCGGCGCUCUGGGCUUUCCCUGGGCCAGCAUCGGUUCUUGCUGCAGGAGAAGGGGUUCUGGAACGUGGCUCUUCGGAGUGUUAUAGCCAGGGCCAGAUGCUGCGUGCGGGGACCGAGGACUGCGGCCGUGUAGUC
rnacentral:rRNA from 1 species